GGAAUUCCAAUGAGGUGUUUUAGGCAGAUGAGAGGAGUGGUUUCUGUGCCCCCAGAGAGCAAGCCAGUGGCAAGGAAAAACUCCCUAGGAGGAAGAAACCUUGGGAGGAACCAGACUCAAAGGGGAAGCCCAUCCUCCAAGUGCCGGAACAGGAAGUGAUAUGAGCAAAAUGGCAAGGUCCCAAUUCACACUGUCUGUAUUUUAAGAUUUGAGUCUCAAAGUGGGCAGGUGAUGGCAGGCAGGUGCUGGUGCUGCUUCCGAUGACAGGAGGAACUGUGGUACAGCAACAGGGCAUACAGGAGAGACGUUACAGGCUGAGAAAAAAGUGGCAGCAAAGCCCAGGUGAAGAAGAGGCCAUCAGCAUUACAAACCACCGGCUGUACAGGUUCCCAGCAGACAAUCCAAACCUCCUUGAUUAACUGACUCUCAUGGUAUGACUAGACAGACUGAGCAGGGCUGCGUGAAAGAGGCCUCACUGCAGUUAGCAUAACCAUUUAUUUUACAGCUCUUCUGUCUCAUUCUACUUCAUAAAGGUCACA